UGCUGAUGGCUUUUGUUUUUUAUUUGUUUGUUUAUUUUUUAUAGGGGAAAUGUCGUCUUCUUGGUAGUCCUUUUGCAGAGUAGUGAUCUUUGUCGGUUUCCGAUAGGUUUGGUAGGAAUGCCAUAUCCCAUGUGCUCCAAUCUUAUCUCAAGUAAGGUGCGAUCUGAUAAUAACUUAGCGAGUUCUGUCGCUAGGUGUCCUUCAGAAUUCCCAAAGAUGCUAGUAGCCACAAAUUCUGCAUUGCUGGCAGGACCACUCGAAUCGGAGUCUUAAGUGAAUCAAGAAAAGAAACUUGGAAACUUGUAGUUGAUACUCACUGUCUCUAGAGGACAAUGUUUUUCUUUUCAGUCGUACCACUAGAUCCUUUUGCCAUGUGCAGAAUGACAGAUGGGUUGAGAAGUGAUAGAUGACCUUUGGAGAUGGGCUUUUCCUGGAUUGUUGCAAUGGCGUAGAUAGGCGUCCCGAUGGUUUGUGAAAAUAGAGGGCCGCGCAGUUUUGCCUGCAAACUUGUAAUGAAGCAAAUCAGGGUUUUAUGUGCUUCUAGUGACUAAUUUACGUAACUAUGUUUUGGAUUUCUUAGAUCUUAGCACACAUAUGCCGAAUUACAUAGACAAGGUAAAGAUUGGAUUCUUGUAGAUAGUACCAAACUGUGUACCUAACUUGCUGACUCCGGUUCCAUUGGAACUCAUGUGCAGCAUUCAGAGAAGCACGUGUGUCACACAUUGAGUAAUUUUAAAAGGGAUACAUAUCUAUUUGAUAAAGUUGGCACAAAGGAAGAGAAAACAAUCAGAAUGCACUUUGAGGUCACUUGCGUCUCCAAAAAGAAGGAAACAGCAAAGUUAACCACUGCAUGUUGUCAUUGUGCCAUUACUUAAUACCUGAGGCUGGCAGACUCAGUGCCCUUGUAGGAUUUUAUAUAAAACCCGAUCAAGUAUGUUAGUUUUUCCAAUCAAGCAAUGCAUGCUAAAGUCUGUCAGUGCCACAUCAUUAUUGCUUUUUUUUAAAAGAUCCUAUACUGACAGAUGAUCAUUUUAUUAUGCAAUAAUUGUUGCAGUUGAACAUAGUUGAUGGAAAGAUGCAGUACCUAUUUGACGAGGAUGGCCGUCGUUACCUGGAUGCUUUUGGUGGCAUUGCAACAGUUUGUUGUGGGCACUGCCAUCCUGAUGUGGUUGAAGCCAUAGUAAACCAGGCAAAGAGGAUCCAACACUCCACAGUUCUGUAUCUCAAUCAUGCCAUUGCAGAUUUUGCAGAGGCACUGGC
rnacentral:lncRNA from 1 species